ACGCUGGCGGCAGGCCUAACACAUGCAAGUCGAGCGGUAGAGAGAAGCUUGCUUCUCUUGAGAGCGGCGGACGGGUGAGUAAUGCCUAGGAAUCUGCCUGGUAGUGGGGGAUAACGUUCGGAAACGGACGCUAAUACCGCAUACGUCCUACGGGAGAAAGCAGGGGACCUUCGGGCCUUGCGCUAUCAGAUGAGCCUAGGUCGGAUUAGCUAGUUGGUGAGGUAAUGGCUCACCAAGGCAACGAUCCGUAACUGGUCUGAGAGGAUGAUCAGUCACACUGGAACUGAGACACGGUCCAGACUCCUACGGGAGGCAGCAGUGGGGAAUAUUGGACAAUGGGCGAAAGCCUGAUCCAGCCAUGCCGCGUGUGUGAAGAAGGUCUUCGGAUUGUAAAGCACUUUAAGUUGGGAGGAAGGGCAUUAACCUAAUACGUUAGUGUUUUGACGUUACCGACAGAAUAAGCACCGGCUAACUCUGUGCCAGCAGCCGCGGUAAUACAGAGGGUGCAAGCGUUAAUCGGAAUUACUGGGCGUAAAGCGCGCGUAGGUGGUUUGUUAAGUUGGAUGCGAAAUCCCCGGGCUCAACCUGGGAACUGCAUUCAAAACUGACUGACUAGAGUAUGGUAGAGGGUGGUGGAAUUUCCUGUGUAGCGG
rnacentral:rRNA from 1 species